CGAGCUCGCUCCUUCUUCAUUCAAAGACCCUAAGCCCAAACUCCUCUUUCAAACAUUAAGCCCCAUUUCGUUCAGAAGAUAACCCUAAGCCCUCUCUUCAUCGUGCCUCACCCUCACCCUAACUCCGCGACGACGACACUCCGUGAAGAACGUCGCUGCGCUCGCAAUGCCUCCGCCGGAAAUCCCUCUUCCGGCGCCCCUAACCCUCCUUCUGUGGUGAUUCUCUCAUGCGGUGACUCCCUCUGCUCACUUGCCGUCGCAAACCCGCCGUCGAUGCUCCCUUUGCCGCUGCUUCCUUCUGUCACUGCAAACCCCUAACCCCUUCCGCGCCGCUCCCUUUUUCGUGCAGGCCGGGGCCCCUUCCAUCGAUGCUUCAUUGCUGGUUUUGAGAGUUGGUAACCCAGCCGCCUGGUGAUUCAAUUUCCAGCCUUUGUUUCAGUCCCAGGGCCAAUUUUGUUGUCGCUACUUCAUGGGAUAACCAGGUUUUGUGCUCCACUUAGAAGGAUGAUGGAACACCGGUUUUCUCCGGAGGCUGUGACAAGUAAGUCAAGAUGUGGCUGCUUUGGAUCUAGUUUUCUUUCUAGUUUUGGUAGUUGAUCCAAGUUUUGUUUUUAAUGCGGAAAAAAGGUUUUGUUUUUGUUAAGUUUUUUUUUGUGACUCUGUUUUAUCAAGUUUUAACGCUGAUUAAUCACUUGACCAAAAAAAAAGCUGAUUAAUCCACCUAAAAUGAGGCAUGGCGCCAAAAUUUAAGAAAUGAUGUAUGAAAGCAGAAUUCAGAAAAAGCAGUUCCUGACCAAAACAAAUAAAAGAAAAGCAGUUAAAGUUGGCUGAUUUUGAUUGUGUUGCAGAAAUAUUUACCUCUUGAGGAAGGUGCCAAAGUACAUAGCCAUAUAUGUGAAGAGUAGGGUGAAAUAAAUCAAAUCAUGUGAAAUUAUCUUAUUUGAGUGUAUCUGAUCCAAAUUCACAUGCUGCUAUAUAUGGUAAAGAGUAAAGACAAAUACAUUGUAGGGGUAUAUACUAUACUAUAUACACAUGAUUUGAACCUUUGCUUUUCUAUUCCAAUGGGGCCAUGGGGUACGGUCCUCCAAAGUAGACCUCCCUCCCUUCUUAAACCUAAUUAUCAUAACCACGUAAUGUAUGAAAUAUACAUGUAUUUGUCUGUGAAUUGAUUUUAUUAGAUUACUUUAUAGCAUAAAUAUGACCUUGGAUAUGCCGUUGCUAGGAUCCCAGGAACAAAUAUAUACUAUGCACUCUUAUCCUUUAACAUGAGACACUUUUCACGUUAUGCCGACAGUUAUAUCCACCUUAUAGGGAAUCAUCUUAUUUUCAACAUUCUAAGCUAAAUUUGGAAAAAUGUUCAGUGUGUAUC